rnacentral:piRNA from 1 species
GAGGAAGAAACAAACCUGUCUGUAGCCA